UAAAUAUGGUAACAGUAGAUACUGAGCAUUAGUAGAGGGUGGGAUUAAAAACUACCCAUUGAGUACUACAUUCACUACCAGGUGACAGGAUCUGCAUUUUAAAUCUAAGCAACAUGCAGUAUUCCCAUGACAUGUACCCCCAUAUCUAAAAUAGAAGUUGAAAUAAAACGUAUCUGGGUAUAACUUUGAACUCCCCGAAACCUGACUAAUGGUAACCUAUAACAUAAAUAGUCAAUGAACUCAUGCUUUGUGUCUUAUAUGUCCUGUGUACUGUAUUCUUACAGUAGAGUAAGCCAGAAAAAGAAAAUCAACAGAAAGAGAAACUAUAUUUACUGUGUAUUUAGUGAAAGUGGUUUGUCAUGAAGGUCUUCAUCCUUGUCUUCAAGUUAAGUAGACUGAAGAGGAGGAAAACGAGGAGAGGUUGGUCCUGCUGUCUCAGGAGUGGCAGAGGCAGAAGGAGAUCCACAGAGUGCAUGCGGUAGACAGCAAGGAGAACCCGGCCAUAGGAGCAUGCAAUACCAAUGAAGGGAAACACGAGAAAGAUGGCAGCGCUCAAAAACACUGUGCCCUCAUAGACCCAGGUGUCCAUGCAGGCCAGAGUCACCAUGGCUGGGACAUGACAGAAGAAGUGAUUGAUGGCCCUGGCUGCACAACAGGGAUAUGGAGCAUAUAUAAAGCAUGAGCACAAGUGUAGGUAAGGCUUAUCAUCAUACCCUCUUUUGCUCAUAUGGAUGGAAUACUGGAGAGUAAUGCAAAUAGCCACAUAAAGAUCAUAAGCCAUUCAUGUCAGGAGCAGCGCUUCUGCAUCUGCUGAAGUCAAAAAGAAGUUUUGAAUCCCACUCCCAGUGAAGCAGAUAGACUUGUUUCCAAACAGAAAAUCAGAAAACGUCUUGGGGACAAUAGUGGAGAUGUAAUUUAGGUCAAUGAGGAAGAGCUGACUAAGAUACACAUUGGUGUGUGGAGUUGGUUGUCCAAGAUGAGAAGAGAUGAGAAGAAUCGUGGACACAUUGCCAACCAGAGCCAUUAGGAAAAUGAGAACAAUGAGAAUGAGG
rnacentral:lncRNA from 13 species